rnacentral:misc_RNA from 1 species
CUCCUCAGCUAGUUUUCCAGCAUCAUAUACUUUUUCAAACUUUAAACUGUUUUGGAGUAGUCAGCAGCAACACUGAAGGCAGAAACCACACCAGCCAUCCCAACUACCUGUGUCCAACUUCGUGUCCCGGCAGCAACAGCUGCCCCUGCCAUGGCACCCGCAAUUAAAGCAUUCACCUGUAACAAGAAAAAGCUUUGAUGACAUUUAUCAAUAAUCUUCAAACCAAGUCCAAGAGACCAUAGCAUUUGAUGAAUGAGCCUUUUCUCAUUUUCUAUAGAAUUAAUAGAAUGAACCAAUGAUGCACCAGUCAUUCUAUAAAUUGAAAAACCAAUAUAUACUCCUGUCCUAAACAUACAAUCAAGAGAAAAUGCACAGGCCUCUCCUUGAAGUCAACUAAUGAAAGUUGUGUGCACCGGCUCUUAUAGUGCUUAGAACACAGACACAGACUAAAAAAGAAAAAUAUAUCGCAAAGUGAUUUCUUGUAACAAUAAAUUUGGUCAAGUUAAUGAUACCCACUGCAAAGAAUUAUCUUAAGCUCAUUUGGAUACAUGAGGAUUUGAAAAGCAAGAGUAUUUGAAUUACAUGUUUAUGAUACAAAUCCACAUUCAUAUUCAUUUCAAAUGUAUACAUAUCCAAAUGGUAUAGGAAGGAUCAUUCGAUUUUUUCAUCUUUUCUUUUGCUUUCUUUGUUAAAUCAUAUUGUUUUCUUUUCCUUUCCGUAUUGAAUCAUAUUUUCAUAAAUAGGGCAAGGUUCAUCAAUAAUUUAAGGUGUGUUAGUCUGAAGAGGCAGUUCAGUAACUUAAGACUUAAGAUUAUCAAACUAAUAAGCUUGAAUUUUUGUAGAAAAGAUAGAAAUGUAACUAACCCAGUCAUCCUUUUUCCUGUAUCUUUCAAUUCCACAACGGGAAAAAGUAAAAACUCCAGCAACAAGCCCUGAAGAACACGAGAUGAUAGAGAUGCAGACAAGGAAGAAUGAAAAAAGUUACAACCUCAAAACAACUGGCAGGAACCUCAAUAAGAAUCAAAUGGCAUUGAGAGGAACACCUUGAGGCAGUUAUAGGAAGCAAUAAUUCAGAAAAAAGACAAACAAUCAGAGAUAAUAUAAGGGAAUAAUGAUGAAAUGUGUUAUAAAAAAUACAAAACAAAACAAAACAAAACUUGAUUGAGGAUGACACAGGUUAUAAUAAAGCAGUGAAGAUGCAAUCAGUGGGUUUCCAAAAUGCAUGGAAUCAAAUUUUAUUGUCAUUCCAUAAGUAUUACACAUUCUCUUCCUCCUAAACCUAUACAUGUUCCCGAAAAUUAAUCAACUCUAAUUCCUCAAUAAUCACCUCAUUCAUCUUUUUCUAGCAGCAUGUCCUGAAACAUUAAGCUAAGACAUGUUCGACAUGGGAACUGGGGUGAUAAAAAGUAUUUAAGUUUAGAAUUAGCUUGGUUCCAAAAAUAAGCAAGUAUUAAGGUUAACAACUUGACGGUUAUGAGCAUAGCUGAUUAAGGCCCUUUCAACAAACAUGUAACUCCAUGCUUGCACAUAUAGAAAUGCUUGCACAGGAAUAUAGAAUCACUCUCUUUCACUUACUUAUUAGACUAAUACAAAUCAAAAUCAAAUGACAUGCGAGCACAUAAUGCUACCACUAUAUGUAAAUAGUUUCACACUUAAAAAUAUUAUCAAGCGUAAUGCUAAAGCUACUUAGUAUCACCACAGAAAACCUAGAUAUUCAUCAGAUUACCACAUUGAAAGCCGAAUUUUCCGAUUGACUUUGCCUGCAUAUCAAAUUAAAAUAAAAAUAAUAAUUGAUGGUCCAGACGUUACACCAGAAAACAUCAAAAUCAAGGAUUGUGUGAACAUUUAAAUUGAAAUAUCAUA